rnacentral:rRNA from 1 species
CGCGGCCUAUCAGCUUGUUGGUGGGGUAAUGGCCUACCAAGGCGACGACGGGUAGCCGGCCUGAGAGGGCGACCGGCCACACUGGGACUGAGACACGGCCCAGACUCCUACGGGAGGCAGCAGUGGGGAAUAUUGCACAAUGGGCGAAAGCCUGAUGCAGCGACGCCGCAUGAGGGAUGACGGCCUUCGGGUUGUAAACCUCUUUCAGCAGGGAAGAAGCGAAAGUGACGGUACCUGCAGAAGAAGCGCCGGCUAACCACGUGCCAGCAGCCGCGGUAAUACGUAGGGCGCAAGCGUUGUCCGGAAUUGUUGGGCGUAAAGAGCUCGUAGGCGGCUUGUCACGUCGGGUGUGAAGGCCUGGGGCCUAACCCCGGGUCUGCAUCCGAUACGGGCAGGCUAGAGUGUGGUAGGGGAGAUCGGAAUUCCUGGUGUAGCGGUGAAAUGCGCAGAUAUCAGGAGGAACACCGGUGGCGAAGGCGGAUCUCUGGGCCAUUACUGACGCUGAGGAGCGAAAGCGUGGGGAGCGAACAGGAUUAGAUACCCUGGUAGUCCACGCCGUAAACGUUGGGAACUAGGUGUUGGCGACACUCCACGUCGUCGGUGCCGCAGCUAACGCAUUAAGCUCCCCGCCUGGGGAGUACGG